rnacentral:lncRNA from 1 species
GCGAACCCACAUGCAGUUGGCACCUUCACCAUUAAUGGGCUGCUACGGCUUCUCCAGUUUCCCUUCCUCACACAAUAAAACGCAGCAAGGAAUCGUGGCUGAGAGCUGCGAGUCGUAGGCAACCAAGCCCUUUCCUCUCUGGGUCUUGGACUCCUCUGCUUUAAGAGUCUGGGAAGCCAUAUUUCUUGGGUCUGCUUAGAACUCCAGGUGAGAAUUUAAGCAGAAGCUCUACCUUCAAGUAGUAAUCUCCUUUUCUCCCUCUAGAUGACAGCCUUGUUUGCCAUAUGUCAGAUUGAUGCACUGUGCUACCUGUAAUGGAGUGGAGAUCGUUACGUGAAGAAAACACGAUCUGCUAAAAUAGAUGAGGCAGAGAGAUUUGUGUCUCUCUUUCUGUGUAACCAAACCUGGAACAUCUUUAAAAUUAAGAGUGGGGAUGAGCAACACACAACUCUUGGAAUGUUGUUGGAUUGAACCACCUUGACCCCUGACCUUUUGCUGUGCUGCCUAAGGCU